ACGGAGGAUCCAAGCGUUAUCCGGAUUUAUUGGGUUUAAAGGGAGCGUAGGCGGCCAUUUAAGUCAGAGGUGAAAACUUGCAGCUCAACUGUAAGCUUGCCUUUGAUACUGAGUGGCUUGAAUAAACUUGAGGUAGGCGGAAUGUGACAAGUAGCGGUGAAAUGCAUAGAUAUGUCACAGAACACCAAUUGCGAAGGCAGCUUACUAAGGUUUAAUUGACGCUGAGGCUCGAAAGCGUGGGGAUCAAACAGGAUUAGAUACCCUGGUAGUCCACGCCCUAAACGAUGAUAACUCGAUGUUGGCGAUAUACAGUCAGCGUCCAAGCGAAAGCGUUAAGUUAUCCACCUGGGGAGUACGCCCGCAAGGGUG
rnacentral:rRNA from 1 species